AGACUUUAUUGAAAAUUAUAUUCCAAUUUGAAUACAGUGACGAAAACUCGAGACAAAAUUUGAAUCGGCGUAUGAGAUCGAAGUAGAAUCGAAGGACCUCGUUCAUGCUUCAAGAACUAGAAACAAUUUGAGCCUGAAGGAUGUACCAGAAUCGUGCCGCGUGUGUUGCGUCGUGACUAAGAAUGGAAGAUGUUUCAUGAGUUCUUCCGAUGCAUUGUGUUGUGCGUUUCGGCGCAUUGCGAUGACGAGUAGAAAUGGAGGCGUGCGUUAUAGAUUACAACAAAGACGCUGCAGCAUCUGCGGUUUCGAAUUGAAUGAGAUAACAAUGAAGCCUCUGUUUGCAUCGAUGUGACUCACGUUUUCCAGGUGUCGUGAAGAUGGAAGAAACUGGGUUGAAGGUGAUGCCAAUGGAAUCAGAGUGAAGGAGAUAGAAGGUAACGAUAAGAUAAAAAAAUCGAGAGAGAGCCUUCUGAACUUGUGAAGGUGAAUGGUUUUGUGCUUUGUCGGGCAUGCGCAGGUGGAACUUCAUUGAGUUGCUGUUAGAAGAUGCAAAUCUUAUCUGCGAAUUCAGAGUUGAGUUACAGCGUCCGGUUUUGCCUUGGCUGGUGGCUUGUUCUUUUCGGCUUUGGACGACAGCUUUUUCUGGUUCUCGUUAGCAGCUUUGGAUGCCUUGUAGGUUUCUAUGCAGGAAAUUCGUUUUUCUGUUAUGGUAGUUUGAGUGGAAGCUUCAAGUGAUGCCGGUUUGUCUGGUUAGAGCUGUUAUCUUCUACCAUUCCGAUUUAACCUCCGUUUUCGUUUUCCAGGAUGUUAAAUUGGGCUUGUAGUUGCGCUUCCAUCACGUUGCCAUGCCGAUACUGUUGUUUCAAUCUCUACCAUCAUGUGGCCGCUGUGUUUUAGCUUUUGAAUUAUGUUAUGCUAUUCAUGUUUUCUGCUAUGACUUGAUGCAGGUUCUGCCGUUGCAUGGAGUUUUCUUGUCGAGUUGUGGAUAUUGUCUGGACCUGGCGCUUAGACUUGGAAACAAUUGGCUUCCCUUGAGGUACCACAUGGUUGUAACAUGUUUAGCAACCGAUCGCCAUAUGCAGGCUGGGAGUUGUAAUCACGUUUAUGUAACACUCUUUUCAUGGUGCCUUGGAUUCUCGUGCUGUGGACCAGACUUAGUGAUGUGCGAAAAUGGUAUCAAGGCACUUUGGAAGAAACAAGCAUGACUUGGAGACAUCAUGGUUUUUUUUUAUGGAAAAUGAAGUUGGCUACGAACUUAAAAGAAGAUGAAACAUGAUUAAGACAAAGUGAACCUUGGCAUUUAGAUUUUAGGGAUUAGAUAAGUUGACUUUCAUCAACUAGUUGGCCAAAAAGUCGACAGUUGACCAAAGUCAAUUGUAGAUCAAAAAUCCAAUUUUCUUGUAAUUUUGUAUGCGUAAUGUAUAGACAUUGUGACA